GAGAGAGAGAGAGAGGGGAGACAAGAGGAGAUGAAUUAGACAGGUGACACGGCGCGAGCAAACACGGAGGUGACAGAAGAGGCCGUGAGUCCAGACAGAGAGGAAAUGAAUUCGAUGAAAGCAGUGCCAGAGGACGAUGGGCGAAGGAGAGAGACACAAUAAAGAAGGAGGUGUCGCAACAAAGAGCACAGCAUCUCGGAGGCUAGGUAAUAACGGCUGGGACGGCCGACACCAGUGCUGCUCGGUGGGGGCCACAGAAGCAAGGUUAGAGGGUCGGCCCUCAUAAAGGAGGAGCAGGGCAGCAACACAGCAUUUCGUAGAAAUCCUAUUAAACCCAGCGCUCUGCGAGGAAGCAGACCACCUGAAAUCUGAUCAGAAGUCAGCCGAGGCAGUAAUCAGGUCAGCUACACUACCGUACACACACGCAGGCGACCGACACAUGGAAGACUUCCACGAUAAAGCAACAGCAGCUCACACACUGGCGUAUCGGCUCGGGAUGUGACAUGAAUCUGUGGCCGAACACGCGCUUCAAGUGCUGUGACACCCUUAUAAGCCGUCAGAAUGUACAGGAAAGGUGCCCCGUAGCACAGCAUCAGCGACCGUGGGUGGUCCGCAGUGGAACUGGGGCAGAACCACGAUGCUGCUGUGCGACAGAGAAGCCCUGCGGUGUAAGCUCCCAGCUCGGCCUCUCUGUGGCCUCAUCACAGCUCACCAGCAGAGCCAACUUAGAGGACGAAAGAAAAAAAA